GGCUGAGAUCAGAAUGACCUAGCAGAUUAUUCUGUUCCCUUGAAGAUAUUCCAGGAAAUGCAGUUUCCAUAAAUGGACGAACUGGCAUUUGAUUUGAAGAAUGUGGGACCAGAACAGCCCCACUGGAGUUCAGUGACCCAAGUUGAACUGAUCCGUAGCAUCCCGGUGACGAAUUACUAGGAAUCCCCUGUCUGCAUCCGCUAGAUUCUUCCAGCUCCAACUCCGGAGAAAUCUGUUGCGUUGAGCAUCGGUUUACACCUCCAGGACGGCUAGGCUCAAGCUUAAUUUUUUUCCCGCCAAUGUCGCUCCGAUUUAGAGCACGAAGAGCAGCUUCGGCAGAUCUAACGUCAUAGAA
rnacentral:misc_RNA from 1 species